GGAUAUUGGUCAAUGGGCGCAAGCCUGAACCAGCGACGCCGCGUGGGUGAUGAAGGUCUUCGGAUCGUAAAACCCUUUUCUAGGUGACGAGAUCAGGACGGUGGCCUAGGAAUAAGUCUCGGCUAACUACGUGCCAGCAGCCGCGGUAAAACGUAGGAGGCAAGCGUUAUCCGGAGUUACUGGGCGUAAAGCGUAUGUAGGCGGUUGGGCAAGUGGCGUGUGAAAGCUCCCGGCUAAACUGGGAGACGACAGGUCAGACUGCUCGGCUCGAGUCCGAUAGAGGAGCGUAGAAUUCCGGGUGUAGCGGUGAAAUGUGUAGAGAUCCGGAGGAAUACCAGUGGCGCAAGCGGCGCUCUGGGUCGGGACUGACGCUGAGAUACGAAAGCGUGGGGAGCGAAC
rnacentral:rRNA from 1 species